rnacentral:rRNA from 1 species
UACGUAGGGGGCUAGCGUUGUCCGGAAUCAUUGGGCGUAAAGAGCGCGUAGGCGGCCAGAUAAGUCCGGUGUGAAAGUCAAAGGCUCAACCUUUGAAUGCCGCUGGAAACUGUCUGGCUAGAGUCCGGGAGGGGCGAGUGGAAUUCCUGGUGUAGCGGUGAAAUGCGCAGAUAUCAGGAGGAACACCAUGGCGAAGGCAGCUCGCUGGGACGGUACUGA